AUUGGAGGUUGUGCCCUUGAGGCGUGGCUUCCGGAGCUAACGCGUUAAGUCGACCGCCUGGGGAGUACGGCCGCAAGGUUAAAACUCAAAUGAAUUGACGGGGGCCCGCACAAGCGGUGGAGCAUGUGGUUUAAUUCGAUGCAACGCGAAGAACCUUACCUACUCUUGACAUCCAGAGAACUUAGCAGAGAUGCUUUGGUGCCUUCGGGAACUCUGAGACAGGUGCUGCAUGGCUGUCGUCAGCUCGUGUUGUGAAAUGUUGGGUUAAGUCCCGCAACGAGCGCAACCCUUAUCCUUUGUUGCCAGCGAUUCGGUCGGGAACUCAAAGGAGACUGCCAGUGAUAAACUGGAGGAAGGUGGGGAUGACGUCAAGUCAUCAUGGCCCUUACGAGUAGGGCUACACACGUGCUACAAUGGCGCAUACAAAGAGAAGCGACCUCGCGAGAGCAAGCGGACCUCAUAAAGUGCGUCGUAGUCCGGAUUGGAGUCUGCAACUCGACUCCAUGAAGUCGGAAUCGCUAGUAAUCGUAGAUCAGAAUGCUACGGUGAAUACGUUCCCGGGCCUUGUACACACCGCCCGUCACACCAUGGGAGUGGGUUGCAAAAGAAGUAGGUAGCUUAACCUUCGGGAGGGCGCUUACCACUUUGUGAUUCAUGACUGGGGUGA
rnacentral:rRNA from 1 species